GGUUUCCGUAGGUGAACCUGCGGAAGGAUCAUUACCGAGUGCGGGCCCCUCGGGGCCCAACCUCCCACCCGUGUUGCCCGAACCUAUGUUGCCUCGGCGGGCCCCGCGCCCGCCGACGGCCCCCCUGAACGCUGUCUGAAGUUGCAGUCUGAGACCUAUAACGAAAUUAGUUAAAACUUUCAACAACGGAUCUCUUGGUUCCGGCAUCGAUGAAGAACGCAGCGAAAUGCGAUAACUAAUGUGAAUUGCAGAAUUCAGUGAAUCAUCGAGUCUUUGAACGCACAUUGCGCCCUCUGGUAUUCCGGAGGGCAUGCCUGUCCGAGCGUCAUUGCUGCCCUCAAGCCCGGCUUGUGUGUUGGGCCCCGUCCCCCCCGCCGGGGGGACGGGCCCGAAAGGCAGCGGCGGCACCGCGUCCGGUCCUCGAGCGUAUGGGGCUUCGUCACCCGCUCUAGUAGGCCCGGCCGGCGCCAGCCGACCCCCAACCUUUAAUUAUCUCAGGUUGACCUCGGAUCAGGUAGGGAUACCCGC
rnacentral:rRNA from 1 species